rnacentral:rRNA from 1 species
GACGAACGCUGGCGGCGUGCUUAACACAUGCAAGUCGAACGAAGUGGCGAACGGGUGAGUAAUACGUGAGUAACCUGCCAUCCUGUUUGGGAUAAGCCUUGGAAACGGGGUCUAAUACCGAAUAAAGGGGGAUGGGCUCGCGGCCUAUCAGCUUGUUGGUGGGGUGAUGGCCUACCAAGGCGGUGGCGGGUAGCAGGCGUGAGAGGGUGACAGGCCACCUUGGAACUGGGAUAGGGCCCAACGUGCGACGGGAGGAGGCAGUUGGGGGUAUUGGACAAUGGGCGAAAGCCUGAUGCAUGGGCGCCGGGAGGGGGAUGAAGGAUUUCGGGUUGUAAACGUCUUUGGCUAUCGAACGGGUAGGUGGAGAAGAAGCGCCGGCUAACUACGUGCCAGCAGCCGCGGUAAUAC